rnacentral:misc_RNA from 1 species
GAUGAAGAACGCAGCGAAAUGCGAUAAGUAAUGUGAAUUGCAGAAUUCAGUGAAUCAUCGAAUCUUUGAACGCACCUUGCGCCCUUUGGCCAUUCCGAAGGGCAUGCCUGUUUGAGUAUCAUGAACACCUCAACUCUUUAUGGUUUUCCAUGAUGAGCUUGGACUCUGGGGGUUUUGCUGGCUCACAGUCGGCUCCUCUGAAAUGAAUCAGCUUACCAGUGUUUGGUGGGUAUCAUAGGUGUGAUAACUAUCUACGGUUGUGGUUUUUCCACCAGGUAACCUUCAGCAGUGGAGGUUCGCUGGAGCUCAUAGAUGUCUCUCCUCAGUGAGGACAGCCCUUUGAAUGUUUGAUCUCAAAUCAGGUAGGACUACCCGCUGAACUUAAGCAUAUCAAUAAGCGGAGGA